AUUAGUUGAAAUUUAUAUUGAUUUGAUUGAUACCGAUCUCAUCUGAAUCCUAUCUGAAUCCCUACAGUUGUGUGUUAUUGAAAAUUACGAAAAUACCAUUUAGAACAAUUCAGAGUACAUUCGUGCAAAACAUAUUGUUCGGUCAUGCUUUCACUAAGUUCUUAAAAUGCUUAUUUGACUUUACAUUUUUGUACGAAUGCACGUAAUGUAAUGCUGCAUAACUUUUGUUAACAAUACUCUCCUACAAGUAUGCAAUUUUCUAUUUUCAGAUGUCACUGUUUCAUGGUACAUCAUGUCGGCUCACGUCUGCCAGUUGAUUGCUUGACCUUUAAAAUUUGCCAUAAAACAUGUACCUAUCUACAGUACAGUACGUGGCUAGUUACACCAAAAACCAUUCCGCAAGACACAAAGGCAGCAACGCAAAGUCAACGCCAAACUUACACUAGCCAACUAGUCACCAAAAACGCACUGAGCACAGGCCAGAACAUACAAACAAACAAACAAAAACCCGCUAAACCUAUUGGCAAUAAAUUACUCAACGCUCGAUUUCACCCAGUCGUCAGGGAGGGGGGUCUGUCAGAAGAUUGUUUUACAAGCGACAUCAACAACUUGAGCAAUAAACAUUUUACAGCACCGUCGUCCACGGCGGGUAUUCCAAUUCGCGAGGCCUUGUCCCACUACUCGAAACGGUCGUCACCGUGCCCGGUCUGCAAUGGAGUGUGCCCUCGGUAUGGUUUAUUUACUAUUAUCUAUUACCUUUUUUGUAUUUGUUUGUACCGGGAGAGGAUUUUUUUUUAUUAUAGAAUCAUGUGUUUCUGCUCAAAACUAACACGAUCGCUCCGCUUACUUGCAUCGUAAAACGUUUGCCGCAAAGCAAAUUCAAUUCAGCAUUCAGGUGGAUGUGUUUGCGAAUGACAAAGAGCGAACUUCGGUGGAACAUAAAACGUGAAAAACUAAAUCUUCAGAUUAAUUUCAAUAAACAACUGAGUAUAAUAAUUUUAGUUUUCGAAGUUCGUAACCCCUCCUAACAACUCUUAACAGCAUAACAAACAGCAUUAAAAUUAUACAUUCGCUGACCAUCCGGUGUCUUGCUGCAGGUGCGGUCCAUCUCACAGGAGUCACUUGUCACUUCUGUUCGCUUCUUUCCGACGCUCUACAGGUCGGAGUAGCAUGGGGCGCCACGCGUAACUCCAGCGAGCGCAUCCGCAACGGACCGACACCCAAACCCAAGCCCACAAAGUUGGCGAAUGGCAGGGGCAAUAAAAAAAAGGCAUCAUUACGAAGUGAUUUAUCGGUCCCGAAUGAGUUAUUAAUGAGGAAAAUUGAUUUAUGGCUAGACUGUGUUACGAGACAUUCUCGCGCACCCGCGAUAUCAACUUUUGGCCGAACGCUUCGGUCCCUUCGAUGUACAUACUUUUUGGUUUUUUGGUAUUUUUUCUGUUUUUUUUUUUUUGUUUUUGUUUUUGGCAUACCCACAAUGCAAACACACAGGACGCGCGGGACAGGGUGCAGUAAAUUUAUUGUCAAUCACAAUGCGCCGGCAAUGGUGACUAACACACAGACACGAACUAAUCAUAAAAACGGACCGGUUUUGAUGGCAAAAGUCCGACCGUUCGCCCGGCCCAAAACCGAACGCGCCUAAAUGUAUGCAUCCUGCAUCGGAUCCACAGCUUGAUCGGGUGCGCUUGUAUGUGUAUGUGUGUGCCGUGGAGGUUGUUGGGUGACAGAAACAAGGUUACCGUUUUUAGGCAUGGAUGAAUUUAAAUAAUUCUCGCUCUACACCAGCGUCCCGGGGGCGGAGCGCAAGCAACUGUCAACAGCGCGAACUUAUGGGCAAAUAAUCGCCUGCCCCGGUUGUGGAGGAUGUGGAUAAAAAUGGUGAAACUAAACGCUGCCAAUAAAUAUAUGGGACAUUGCGAUAUUAAAACGCCAUUGGUGGCUUCGAUCGGUUGGUUGUACCAUCGUUAAGCUUAUGUUGUUUGUGCGGACAGGGCAAUCAAUGCUAUCAGACUAUUGAAUGCCACCGUAUCGGAGGCACAGCGGUGACGAAUGCUGACAACCGUAAGCUCUAGGGAUCAGCAGAACAACCAAACAAUAACGAAUGCAACACACGCCCUUGUUAGACUAACCUCGAAUAAGAUCGACGAAGAAGCUCAACUCACAGCACAGUGUGGUCACUAUUGCAGCUUCGUUAUCUACUUUCGAGAUACGGGAAGGUUCAAGCUAUCGAGAAGUGCACAACACUUGACAGCGGUGUUUGUGUGUGUGAUCCACCCUGCCACAUGUAGGCAUGUAAGGAGAUAAUAGGUCCAUCCAUCAGGGUCUCUGAUCUCUCUUCAACUGUCGAAUCCAUCAGGGUGGGAAGCCGAAGCGUACUUCAACUGAUUGUUUAACCAUAUUUAACAUAAACACCCCCAACGAAGUAAAACGGCAGAUAAUAAACGGCCCAAUAGUCUAUUAGAUCAGGGGUCCCCAAACUUUUCAGUUCGCGGGCCGCAUUGCUUCACAUAUAAUGGUGUUGAGCGCCAUUUUUCCGUUGCCUGUAUCUAAUGCGAACAUUUCAAUUUCGUCUUUAUAAAAAAAAUACUAAAAUAAUAUAUAAACUCCUAUAGCUUUCUAUUAUUAAAGCUUGGUCUACGUCUCUAAAAAGCAACAAUUACGUUUUCUUUAAAAAUAGUCACAAUUAACUAUUUCUUUUAACCUUCACAAAGUUGCCAAGUGCCGCAUAAUAGGCUUUUGAGGGCCGCUUGUGGCCCGCGGGCCGUAGUUUGGAGACCUCUGUAUUAGAUAAGUGUGCCGGCUCCUACAACACCGAACGGAGCCCAAGAUGCUCGGUCCCUAGUUGCAGCCUCUCAUCCAUGUAGAGACACCCGAUCUCCGGCAGGUCCCUCUUCACCUGAUCCAGCCAUCAUGUUCGCUGUGCUCCCCUGCGCCUUAUGCCGAACUGGGAAUCGCUGUCGAACUUCUUCUUGGAGGGGUAUGAACCCGGCAUCCUCAUAACAUGCCCCAGCCCCAGCGUAUCCUGCCAGCCUUCGCCACCAUCAGGAUGCUCGGUUCGCCGUAUAGCUCAGCAAGAUCGUGGUCCAUGCUUCUCCUCCAAACUCCAUGUUCGAACUCACAAAAUGUUUGCAUCCUUCGCUCGAAUGGUCCAAGGCUCACGUUCGUAGAGUUCACCACCGGGCGAAUUAAUGUGUGAUAUGUCUCACAUUUCGUGCAGGUUCGAAGUCUUCUGGAUCUCAGCAGUCGGUAAAGCCCAUAGUAUGCACUAGUGAUGGGAAAAAUGAAGUUUUAGUAGAAAUCGAUUCCGGCUAGCUCCGAAGAUUUCUGGAAUCGAUUUCGGGUAGUAGGUCUGGGAUCAGUUUCCAGAAUCGGCUCCAGAAUCGGAAUCGGCUCCGGAAUCGGAUUCGGUUUCAGAUUCGGAAUUGGCUUCAAGAUCGAAGUCGGUUUCGGCAUAUACAUAAGAAUAGGUAUUUGAAUACAAUGCGUGCGAACAGACAGCGUCCACGGGCCUGUCCACGCCCGAAUGCAGAGCUGAUGGCAUACGAUUCUAUCUUCACCAUUAACAUGAGAGGGACAGAGCUUAUACCCCGAACGUACCCGAAAGGUAUGCAUGCUUCACUCAUCAGGAUCUAAAGGCAAGGACAAGGCAAAAGAGACAAAGAAAAAUUUCCUCACGGCUACAAAUGUCCUUUUGAUGCGUUGUCACAGCGGCAUACGGCAGGUAAGCAGUACAAAUGCUGCUACCUGAUACGCACACAUGAUUAUCGAACACAACUAUUCGGUUCGGCUCGGUAAACUUCACGAGGACACCGGAACAAAAGGGCGCAGACUUUUUCAUGAUUUUGUAUGACUUCGGCUGUUUUGGACCUCGCGUGUAGGCGCAGACAAUGAUGCUACGUAUUGAUAGCCGCAAAUAAUCCAAAUUUACUUGUGUACGAUACAUUCUCAUGGAGAUUCCCAGACUGAUUUCGCCUCUGAAACUUCUUAUUUCAAUUCAAGAACUGAUUCUCAUUCUGGAGUAAAUUCUGUUCCCGUAACCGAAUCAAAUUCCGAUUCCGGGGCCGAUUCUGAUUCCGGAGCCAACUCCGGAAUCGAUUCCAGCAUCGGAAUCGACUCCGGAAUUGAUUGUGAACACGGAAUCGGAAUCGGGUAGGUCCGAUUCCGAGUUCCCGCCACUGGUAUGCGUCUCCGGAAUUCGCUCUAGAUGUCGUUGUCCCAAGAUAGCAGAACUCUUCUACCACCUGGAGAUUGUCGUCGUCAAUAUAUUGCCUCCCAGUUAGGCCCUGACUGAGCCUCCGGCAAGCAGGUACGACGACGAAAACGAAGCAUCGAUUCUCAGUCCAAUUCUUGCUGCUGGAGCAAACUGGAUGCUGGAUGUGCAUUUCUUGUUCGAUAAUAAAUGGAACAAACAACACGAAAAUAUGAUUGUGGAAAGCGAUUGCUUUAUUGAAAAUUCUACUCUCGGAAUUGGUCACAUAAUUUUGUAAGUCCCUUUCCAAACUCUCUAACUCUCUCUCUCUCCCUUCCUUCCUCAGUUCCGUCCGGGACACAGUGCUUCCUGGUGAAUGAGCGGUGAGCUCAGUAGUUUCCUCUCGCUGGUCUAUUAUUAAUGUUCUCGUACGAAAAUUCAUUCCACCCAAGGUCACAUUCUCUCACUACAUCAGUACACAGUGGACAAACGGCUGUAACAGUUUUAAUUUUUAUAUCGUUUGAUU